rnacentral:rRNA from 1 species
CCGGCGAACGGGUGCGUAACACGUGAACAACCUGCCCUCGUGUGGGGGAUAGCCAUGCUAACGCGUGGGUAAUACCGCAUACGUUCCUCUGGGGGAGUCCCUGGGGGAGGAAAGCUCCGGCGCACGGGAGGGGUUCGCGGCCUAUCAGCUAGUUGGCGGGGUAAUGGCCCACCAAGGCGACGACGGGUAGCUGGUCUGAGAGGAUGGCCAGCCACAUUGGGACUGAGACACGGCCCAG